GUUUGUGUGUUGUCCUUGUGUUCGUUACCAGUGUUGUACUGUUGUUUCGUGUCGUCCUACUAACAAGUUAAAGUUACACAAGAUCGGCUACAACAGCAUCUUAAAUUUCUUUUGUUUUUUGUUUUUUUAAUCACAAGCACGACUUGCUUCUCAUUUCACUUGUCAUUGGCAGAAUCGUCGACAGUGACAUCGACACGGAUUGCCAUAAAUAAAAAUAGAAUAGAAUAGAACGAAAAAAUAUAUUUUU
rnacentral:lncRNA from 1 species